rnacentral:lncRNA from 1 species
CUGUUCCUGAGCUGAAACAUUGUUGAAUGGAGGGUGUAGCAAUCCAUUCUGGACUUCUCUAAGCUCCUGUUGAGUUGUGAUUGCAUCCUUCUUGUAUGGUGUUUUCAUCAGGGAGGCUGAUGUCGUCCAGUGGCCAGCUGGUUUUGCUGACUCCAGUGUAAGAGAUUUUGAUAACAAAGUACUUGACUGAGGCUGGUCUGGUACCAGACCUGAGCUUUGGCAAGGUGCCAUCCAGUUCUGCUGCAGAGCUGCACUGAGUGCCACAUGGGGAUGCACCUCUGUCUUAUUUGGCACAACGGAUGUUGUAGAUGCAGGUUCCAGCCUAG